rnacentral:lncRNA from 1 species
AUUAGAGAUUACCACAGAGAAGGAACUUAUCUGCAAUAGCUCUGGGACCAUGUUUAUUACCAUGGCAACCAGUGUGAAAGAUCCAACAGAGGUCUGUGGAUCAACACACAGAUGACUGUAAAAUGAGAAUAUGCAGCAAAAACACGGUACCCCUCCAAGAAGGCAUGGAAUGAUAGGAACCUUAUGCAUUUUAUAGCCUCUUCAUGGUGUGUAUAAUUUCACCAGAGAAAUAGAUGAGCAACAUUCAAAGAACAUUGUUCAAAUAUUUCACAGACUUAUGCCGAAGCUAAGAGGAUGUCCUUCAAGAGUCUUAAACUGCUUGGACAGGAAGUCGGCAGCUGGUAACUUCUUUAGGGUGAAUCCAUAAACACCAUGAAUGUCCACUUGAGACCUGAAAUGCACAAAGUUGAAGCAGGUACUAAGAGUACGGCGAAGCUUGGGAGAAAAAAAUGCAGUACUGUACCAUACUGACUUUGUGACAUGCUAAAUUCUUGAUCACCAAUCCAAAACAGGCCCUGGAGUGAGUUGUCAAGGGACCUCCUGGUUAUUGCGGCCAUCUGGAAACACUGGCUUUGACCCAACAACAGGCACAAGCUGCACACAACUUCAUAAGGAAUGAUCCACCUAACUCAGAAGACAAUUUAUUUUUCCCCAUGCACUUCAGCUAAUUCUCCAGUGAACCUAUUUUUACAACAAUAGCUCUUCUCUCCUGACUCUCUUUGGUCUCCCUCAACCCUCUCUUCUUAUCCUUUAUUUCUUCAUUGCACUUACUCAAGUGUCCAUUUGCAUAUAUCCUCUAUUUUUCUGGAUAUUUCUUUCUUAUGUCCCCUGACUAUGCAUACAGUUAACAGCCAUUCGGCCAACAGUGCUCAUUUCCCUCUCUGUACCUUAGGACAGUCACUGUCUCUGUCCCCAAGCAGGAUAAGAAUGCCACUGAGAUUUACAGCCAGGAAUCAAUCAAAUCCAUCAGAAUGCUUACCUAAACUAAGGUACUUUGCUUGCCCCGUUUGUGGUAACCAUCUGAAGAUGAAAAACUUAGCACUAUGCUUCUAACAUGUUAUCCCCAAAUAUCCAAGACUGUUCGUAUUUAAAUAUUGAUGCUUGCCCCAAUUUAGCAUAGGCAGCAUAACCUACUGACACCUUUCACAAGAAUAUUAGCUGCAGUACUUUGGAAUUACUCUUUACUUCAUUAGAAGGGAAAUUAUUCAUUUUCAUCUUUACCUUAUUCCCCAAUGAUGCCUCCAAAAUUUAAAGCCAUUUCCUUAACUUUGAUCCAUCCUGUAAUGAAGGAAGGUUUACUACCACCGAGACUAUCAGAAAUAACGUGUCAUAAACUCUGAAAAUCAAUCCAAAGACAACUUUCUAAAAUGAGUUAUACAAUACCAACACCCUAUAUAGUCACAUCUGGAGGCAAAGAAAGAAACAUGAAUCCUCAUUUUCACCUCCAGCUUCAUGACCUUCACAAUAACACUGUGAGACACUAUUAUAAGUUUCUCAAUGAUAGUCCUGAUUAAUAUUAGAAUUGCAUUUAUGUUUUGAGAUUCAAACCAGAUUGCAAAGGAGUAAGUAAAGAUGCUCUCACUGAGUUCUGUAAUUAAAUAUUUAAUAUCAACUUUGAGAAACUCAGCAAAGGGCAAGUCCUUCUAAAAGACACUUUAUGUCAAACAGCAGAAAUGAUAAUCUCCUGGGUAUAAGUAAUUUGCUGAUUAUUUCACUUUUUAUUACAAGCCCAGAUGAUAUAAGCCAACAACAAUGCUGAUGGUGCAUCCAACACAUCUUUUUCUCUUAGGUCACUCUGCUCAUUGGUGCUGCUAAUGUAGCAUACAUGAUACAGUCUGUAUGCUGAACAAAAUCUAAAUAGCCUCGCAUAGUUAUUGAGUAGAAAGGGAGAAGAACUGAGUAUGUUUUUUUUGUUUUACAUAUUUUAGAUUUAUAAGUUGAGAUUCACUUCAAUGAAUCAGCAUAGUCUGCUUCAUAAGCAGAAAUGGCAACAACCUCUUUGCAGUUUGAACAAAAACUGGUAAAAGCUGCAUCACCAAGGAAUUCUGACAUCAAAAUAUGGAAACCACUGAAAGCCUCUCUCCUUCUCUCCUAAACUUGUGACAUUAACCCCAUGCAUAGUUUGCCCCUGAUUUCAGUACUGAAAUUUCCCUAUCAUCUGUUAGUAAGGAUCUCCUGGUAACUAAAAAUAAUCAUCUCUUCUUUGGAUCUAGCUUUCUUAGCUUCUCUGAAUUUAUUAGACCAAAAUUUGCCUCUUAAAAUUCUUUCCCUUUCCGCUGCUACUAGUCUUGCUCUCUUCUAAUUCUUUUCCACAUAGCUGCCAAGUAAAAUUAUACCAUCUUGGUACUUUUCCUGUCGCUCUAAUUAUCUUUCACUGCCUUAUCUUCUUCCUACAUCCUAAAUUAAAAAGACCUUCUCCAAGGAUUUGUCUUCCAAUUGUUUUCUCUUAUCUUCUUUCACUCUGCCUCUUAGUGGUCUCACCCCUUUCCACAAGGUCAAAUUCAAUUUUUAUGCACAUAUUUCCCAAGCCUUCACUAUUAUCCCAGUUAUCUCCUAAAACUAUUUAUUUACCAAAAAAUGCACUGUAAAUAUUCUAUGUGACAAGCAUAGUGUUAGGUUUAGAAAAUGCACAACAAAGAGGAUGAGUAUUGUGAGCUGAUUCAGG